AGUGAACGCUGGCGGUAGGCCUAACACAUGCAAGUCGAACGGCAGCACAGUAAGAGCUUGCUCUUACGGGUGGCGAGUGGCGGACGGGUGAGGAAUACAUCGGAAUCUACUUUUUCGUGGGGGAUAACGUAGGGAAACUUACGCUAAUACCGCAUACGACCUACGGGUGAAAGCAGGGGAUCUUCGGACCUUGCGCGAUUGAAUGAGCCGAUGUCGGAUUAGCUAGUUGGCGGGGUAAAGGCCCACCAAGGCGACGAUCCGUAGCUGGUCUGAGAGGAUGAUCAGCCACACUGGAACUGAGCCACGGUCCAGACUCCGACGGGAGGCAGAAGUGGGGAAUAUUGGACAAUGGGCGCAAGCCUGAUCCAGCCAUACCGCGUGGGUGAAGAAGGCCUUCGGGUUGUAAAGCCCUUUUGUUGGGAAAGAAAAGCAGCAGGUUAAUACCCCGCUGUUCUGACGGGACCCAAAGAAUAAGCACCGGCUAACUUCGU
rnacentral:rRNA from 1 species